UCAAAAAGUUCAACAAAAAUGACAUGAAUCGCGUCAUUCUCCAUUCGUUCAUUCAUUUUGCGAUCUCGAAACGAUCUUACUAUGUAGCUUGGGUUUUAGUGCCAUGUGAAUCGCAAUUUGACACCUCGUUCGUAAAAAUCUGAAAACGAGAUGAAAGCGACGGGGUUUUUUGUGACACGAAUCACGCUCCAGGGGCGCGAUUCACAUCUCAACCGAAAUAUUUGUAAAGCGAUACGAACGAGUUACGAGAUGAAAUCCGCAAUGUUUAAAAACGCGAUUCAUAGCACACAUACUUUGAUCUCGUUUUCAUAUCGCUAGUUCGUAUUUGGAUGGCUUGAGUGAAAUGAAUGAAACUAUAUUUUUUUUAAUUGCCAUGCAAAAAUUAUAAAUACUACCACUAAUUGUUUUAAAUAAUUUUGUUCCUACAAUAUAUUUUGUUGGAAUUAGUGUCGAUAGCAAGUAUCAAAAAACAGCUUUUUAAUUCAACGUUGAAGAAAUUCAUAACCUGUGGCACUUUUGACAGCCGCCAUGUUUUCUCCAUAAAAACAUUGAUUUUCUUUGCUCAUUUUCGUGUCAACGUAGUUUUUUUGGAAAAUAAGAAGAAAGGAAGUUUAACUUACUUAGAGAAAUACGACUGAGACAUAAACACAAGCAGCAGCCGAUGUGCUUGAGUAGCAGAAGGAGCAACUGCGUUGUGAGAGGGCCACGGCUUCAGCCCUCACAAUGAUAGCUGAUUAGCUGAAGUAAUGAACAGACAGGCUGCAGUCAAUGAGAGGCUUCUUGAGGAGGUGUUCCUCAUAUGGAAAUCAUUUUAGCGGCGACGCAGUUGCGCGACCAGUGAAGCUCUGGCUCCGCGACCGGCGGCGUGGAGCGCGCGGUCCGCGCGGCGCUGCUGCGGCUGCUGCGCAGGAGGAUCCCGUCCCUGCGCAUGCGCCUGGCCUUCAAUGACCUCACGCCUCUCUUCUUCCUCUUCUUCAUGCGUCAAUUCAAACAGAGGAGCACCUGUGAUUACUGAUUACCUAAGUUCCUAUAUACAAUAAUAGUUUAAUAAUUGUUAACAAAAUAUUGUAUAUAUAAGUAUUAAUAAUUACUUAUACGAAAGGCUAAAAGCAUUUUGUACCAGCCAACCUAUAGGAGAGAAUAUGAGAAAAAUAAUAAGACUUUAAUCUUUGAUUGCUAUUAUCUGUAGCUUUAUUAAGUGGUAAAGGGACCUAAUUACUACCUAUAUUUUUUUAAUAUUUGUGAUAAUUCAUAGAAUUUAUUAGUUCUAUCAAUAAAUAAAAUAUACAUGCAUUACAAUGUGUUUAAUUCAUUAACUUACAAUUUGCACACUGAGGGAA